AUUGAACGCUGGCGGCAGGCCUAACACAUGCAAGUCGAGCGGCAGCGGGAAAGUAGCUUGCUACUUUUGCCGGCGAGCGGCGGACGGGUGAGUAAUGCCUGGGGAUCUGCCCAGUCGAGGGGGAUAACAGUUGGAAACGACUGCUAAUACCGCAUACGCCCUACGGGGGAAAGGAGGGGACCUUCGGGCCUUUCGCGAUUGGAUGAACCCAGGUGGGAUUAGCUAGUUGGUGGGGUAAUGGCUCACCAAGGCGACGAUCCCUAGCUGGUCUGAGAGGAUGAUCAGCCACACUGGAACUGAGACACGGUCCAGACUCCUACGGGAGGCAGCAGUGGGGAAUAUUGCACAAUGGGGGAAACCCUGAUGCAGCCAUGCCGCGUGUGUGAAGAAGGCCUUCGGGUUGUAAAGCACUUUCAGCGAGGAGGAAAGGUUGUUGGCUAAUACCCAGCAAC
rnacentral:rRNA from 1 species